NNCUGCGUCGAGUUCGGUAAGCGGAAACGCCCGACGGCUUGCAUAUAGGGCCGGACAACUCGUAACGCAGUUUU
ncrna:unclassified sequences c4-2 RNA